AUGAACGCUAGCGGCAGGCCUAACACAUGCAAGUCAGGGGGCAGCACAGAUUGCUUGCAAUCAGGUGGCGACCGGCGCACGGGUGCGUAACGCGUAUGCAACCUACCUUUUACAGGGGGAUAGUCAAUAGAAAUGUUGAAUAAUACCCCAUACGAUCCUAUUUAGGCAUCUAAAUAGGAGGAAAACUCCGGUGGUAAAAGAUGGGCAUGCGUCCUAUUAGCUAGAUGGUGAGGUAACGGCUCACCAUGGCUACGAUAGGUAGGGGUCCUGAGAGGGAGAUCCCCCACACUGGUACUGAGACACGGACCAGACUCCUACGGGAGGCAGCAGUGAGGAAUAUUGGACAAUGGAGGCAACUCUGAUCCAGCCAUGCCGCGUGCAGGAAGACGGCCCUAUGGGUUGUAAACUGCUUUUAUACAGGAAGAAUGUUACCUACGCGUAGGUAUUUGACGGUACUGUAAGAAUAAGGAUCGGCUAACUCCGUG
rnacentral:rRNA from 1 species